rnacentral:rRNA from 1 species
CAGUCGCCGCGGGAAUACGUAGGUCCCGAGCGUUGUCCGGAUUUAUUGGGCGUAAAGGGAGCGCAGGCGGUUAGAUAAGUCUGAAGUUAAAGGCUGUGGCUUAACCAUAGUACGCUUUGGAAACUGUUUAACUUGAGUGCAAGAGGGGAGAGUGGAAUUCCAUGUGUAGCGGUGAAAUGCGUAGAUAUGUGGAGGAACACCGGUGGCGAAAGCGGCUCUCUGGCUUGUAACUGACGCUGAGGCUCGAAAGCGUGGGGCGCAAACAGGAUUAGAUACCCGUGUAGUCCCUGUCUCUUAUACA